AGGGACGGCCCGGGAGCAGUGAGGGGGGAUCAGCCCCGAGGGACGGCCCGGGAGCGGUGAGGGGGGAUCAGCCCCGAGGGACGGCCCGGGAGCGGUGAGGGGGGAUCAGCCCCGAGGGACGGCCCGGGAGCGGACUAAAUGUACAAAGUUGCUGAAGCCUUCAGAGUCCUGCUGGGAACAGCAGAGAGCACAAUUUUGGCCUUCUCAGGAGCUCAAACAGCACCCAAGAGCAAACAAGAGCACCUUUCUUCCCAGUCCACAUCCUCCAGCAUGCUGAGCAAACCCACCCAAUUAGAUGGACUGCUCUGAAAUCUCAAUCCAACUGGAAAAGCCCAACUUCGACUUCACACCCCCCACACACCCUAAGAGACCAAACAAAAAAACCCCUCUAAGCAAAUGUUUUCAUUUUCUAGUUGUAUGCCUGACUCAGCAGCUGACAAAAAUGUCUGUAAGGUAAAUCAGCAACAAUGUUGGAUUAAUUUGUCUAAAGUACUGCUCAAAAUACUCUUCAAUCUAUGCAUCCCAAUAUUUUUUUCUAAGUGGAAGUACUGAACAAUCCAAAGAAAAAGAGAGCCUUAAGACCUUGCAUUUUCUUAUUUGGUUUUUGUUUGUAAAAUACUUGGAGAUAACCCACAGAUUUUUCUACAGACCGACUCCUAAUACAGGAAUAUUCAGGUGUAAGUACUGACAGUGAAAAAAAGCACACCUAGGAACUUUAGCUUAUUUCCUGGGCUAGUCCUGCCCUACUCCUGAAAUCUCUGGCUGAGGCCCCUGGCAGGAGGAACAGACACAUUUGUCACUUUUUAUGUGCCAAGCAUUUAAAUGGAGCCAGGUUUCAACCUUAAAGGAGAACCCCCACUCCUACCAGCUCACUAGAAAGUGUAGGAGAGGUACUGAC